AGCGGAGCCGGCUGCGAUGACGCCAACCCACGUGCCGGGCCGCAGGUUAUUGUGCUGCAUUAUCUCGGGGUGUCUGCCAAGUUGUCUCUUCAGAAUUCUCCGACUUUUCCAGCAAAGUUUUGUUCAUCUGACCACAUAGUAGAGGCUGGGGAAAUUAUAGCAAAAAGUUUGUGGGCCUCACAUCUGGUAACAAGAAGGCUCCAAAAACAAGGCCCCUUGAAAACUGAGCAAGUUGCUACUUGUGUAAAUUGGCUCUGAAGAAACCAACAACUAGGCGCUGCACAGUCCGAUGAUUCUUUCCGAGUCUGAAGUGGUACGGGGAAAUCGGAAUUUUGUGUUAUAAUGUGAAUAAACUGUUCUGCAUUACAAA